CAUGUGCAUGCGAUGUGCCUGAGGAGGCCAGAAGAGGGCAUCAGAUCUCCUGGAACUGAAGUCACAGAUUCAAAGUUGGGAGCUGCCAUUUGGGUGCUAGGAAUUGAACCUUAGUCCUCUGGAAGGGCAGAUAGGAUCAUCUCUCCAGUCCUGACUUCUUUCUUUAAAAUUAUUUAGUUAUUCUCUCUUCUCUGUCUGUGUGUCUGUCAGGUCAGAGGACAACUUUCCAGGAGAACCCUUACUUUCUUUCCACUUUGUUUUUGAGACAUGAUCAGCCUCUCAUUUUCGCCACUGAUCAGGAACUUCUGAUCAGUGUCCCGUCUCCAUCACCCAUCCCUUGAGUUUGGAUGGGUGUGGGCAUCCAGACUCAACUCCUCAUGCUUGUGCAGCAAAUAUUUUGCUGACAGAUCCAUCUCCUUAGCCUAGGGUAGAAUCUUCUUGCUAUGACCCUCCUGGAAAAGGUGAAGAAAUUCCAGAGAGACAGGCGUAUCCUUACAUUCGGCUGUCUGGCUCUUGAGACGCCAUACACCCAGGAGUUGAUGUUUCCUUGAAAUCCCACACUAGGAAGUGAAAAGUCUGAAUCUCAGUGACAGCCAGAGGAGGAUCUUGUCUACCACGAAGGGGAUUCACAGCUCUGAUAACAUAUUGGACCAACUUGCAAGACGGAGACAAGCUGAGACAAGGUGGGCAGCCGUGGGCAGGGUUGACCAGGAUUGCUUAGUUAUGCAUACUUCUUACCCUCUGUCUAAACCUAAAUCUUAUAUCUGGGUUCCAAAGAUAGACUUGGGGAGGUGACUAGACAUCAUUGGUGUUUCCUCCUAGUGUGGCUACAUUGGAUAAAUCUCUGUCUUUCUGUCUCUCUGUCCCUCUGUCUCUCUGUCUUUCUCUGUCUUUCUCUGUCUCUUGCUGUCUCUCUCUGUCUCUCUCUGUCUCUAUCUCUCUGUCCUCUUCCCCACCUCUGUCUUUCUCUCUCUCUCUUAACUUUUUAACACUACUUGUGGCUUUAAUUGUCGUACUGACUGAGGAUGAGUGGCUAAGCUCAGGUGUUAAGGUAGACAACUCCAGUACCAUCUCUGUGUCCUUGUGUAGCAGAAAGCCAGUGACAGAGGGCUAAGUGCUGUGCCUCUCGGUGGUGGCAGGAGAGCAGAAAAGAGCAAACACCAUGGCCUCAAGGACCUUUUUUUUUUUUUUUUUUUUUUUUUCGGAGCUGGGGGCCGAACCCAGGGCCUUCUAGGCAAGCGCUCUACCACUGAGCUAAAUCCCCAACCCAUCAAGGACCUUUUAUAAGAUCCUUUAUCACACCGUGAUGGAGAACCCUCACUACUUAACCGAAGGCCCCUCAUCUUCUAAAAACACAACAAAGAAAAAUAAUUACACUUCAGUGGGUCUUUUGAAGUAGACACAUUUCAUUCAUAACAAUGUGGUAGCUGUAGCUUGAAUUUUUUUUUUGAGCAAAUUUUUAUGCUGUUUUUCAUAAUGGCCAUCCCAGUUUAUAUCCCUACCAACAGUGUGCAGAGUAGAACAAAUAUUUUUAAAACAUAACUGUAUCCCAUGCAAUAUUCAGAAGGCUAACUAUUCGAAGACUUUAUUUAGAAUUCCAACUUCAUGGAGCAUUCUGAAUUUUUGAUUUGUCCAGGCUGACAUCAGCACAAGGGAUUCUCUGAAAUUCCAGCUGUUGGGCUUCCAGGUUCUGCCAAGGUUGUGAAUUAGGAGAAUGGUCUCUCCUGGCGCCGGUCCAUCAGCCUCAGGAAGCAUACUUCAUCUCCCAAAUGUCACAGCCUCAACUUUGUCAGGAUGGCCAGCAGCCUGGUUUUGUUUGCAGACAUCCUGCUGGUGGCAGCAGUAGCUUCUUCAAUAAGACACACACAGUGGCAAACAGCCUGUCCCAUCGAACCUUCCACAUGGAAACAAGCUGCAAACCGCUGCAUCAGGAAAGGUGCUAAGCUCAACUCACGUUCUGGUAACAUGACUCCUUAAACGACUUUGAGGCAGGAGGGCCAGGAUCCUGUUAGGAAACUUCUCAGGCAGUUGAUCAAAGGUUGGCCAUUCUGAUUUUGCCAUCCUCCUCCCUCUUUUGUUCUGGGCUUUCUCAGACAAAGGCAAGUUCUGAGAGGAAGGAGUCAGACCACAACGGCUUUGUAAAUAGUUAGAAACUCUACCCAGCUGGGUUAUAGUCCCUUGUCUGCAGCUAGACAACCAUGGCCUCAGUAAAGACCUAGAGUCAAGUAGUGCUCUGCAGAAAGGAAGGAUCUGUUGGCAUCUCCCCCCUGGAUAAAGCAGCUGUGGAAGGGGCUCAGAUUGCUUGCUCCCUUAGCCUGAGGAUCUGAGUUCAAGACCUAGAGCUAGUAUAAAAAGCCAAGCAAAUCUGUGUAUACCUGUAACCCCAGUACGGAGAGGGCAGAGACAGGAGGAUCCCUGGAGUUUGCUGGCCAGACGGUAGAGCUGAAUCAAGGUCUGGGUGAGAUUCUGUGUCUCACAAAAAAAAAAAAAAAAAAAAAAAAAAAGGUAGAGAGCAAAUGAGGAAGGCACUGGGCGCUCACCUCCUCGAGCCUGCUUGGUAGCGCGCAUGCGCACCUCGCAGAGUCUCAGUGAGACGCAUACACACAAAAGAAAGGGUUAAAGAGCCCCAGUUUGCCUCAUCUAGCCUACAUUCAGUCCCGCUUCAUUUGUUUAAGGGUGUGAAAAGAUUGAAAGACUUGAAUCUGGGUUGAUAACUAUACUGUGCCUAUCGACCCUGACAAAUGCCAAAACACCUACCCGAGGCCUGAGUGGCGGUCUUGUUCGUGUCUCCUUCGGUGGAGGCAGGCUGCCAGAACCCCAAACACACACAAUACAUUGGCUUCUGCUCAAAAGAACCCGACACUCAUUGCCAACAACGUCCCCACCUACCAUCAUCCCUGGCCACCCCUUCCUGGAAAAAGUGAUGGAGAGAGGCCAUGGGGUAAGUGGAUCCAAAAGCACACUCAGAGAAUUUCCUGUUAAAACGUGCCACACUGAAAGUUCACCGGGACCCCAGCAGUCAUGGACUGAUGGUUGGACUCUGAUGGAGGCUCGCUUACUCAGAUGCAUGGUAAGCAGAAGUUAGCAAACAUUUGUGUUGUACUUACCUCUUCAGAGGUGUCCGAAUCGCACAGGAAGGAGAUCACCAAUGAGAUCUGGAUUCCCUCAACACGGUACUGCAAAGAUUAAACAACCCCCCUUUCUUGCUCCUCCUUUCUCCUGCCUUCCCCUUCCCCCACACAUUAUAGUCUAAACAAAUGGCUACUUAGACAACAGGAGAACUAGAGAACAAUUCACCAGCUUUCUGUCCUUGACAGACCCAGUGCUGUUAAUGAAUUUUCCUUCUCACACACUGUUUGGGGGGCAUUGGAUUUACUGAUAUGACAUCCAGGAGACCCCUGUUUGGGGAUAUUGGACUUACUGAUGUUCACAGGUCCCAGACAAUCUUCUCCUCAGCCCUUCUGCGCUAGUCCCUUCUCUUGCUUCAGCGUCACGCUCAGAGAACCCUCUCUGGACACCUCUGCCUUUAGCUGGCCUUUUGGUAACAUGGCUACUCUUUUGUUCCCAUUUAAAUGCUCUCUUAGUUAUGGGACAAUGCAUUUAAUACAUGACGGCUUUGAGGAAAUACUUUCCAUGUGAGUUGAACCCCAUCCUCCCCCCAGUCCCCAAAAAGGGACAGAAAACUGGGUAGAGGUGGCGUAUGCCUUUAAUGUCAGCACUCAAGAGGCAGAGCCAGGUGGAUCUCUGAGUUCAAGGCCAGUCCAGUCUACAGAGAGAGUUCCAGGAUAGCCAGGGCUACACAGAGAAACCCUGUCUCAAAACAAAAACAAAAAACAAAAACAAAAACUUCAAAUAUGACCUUAUUUGUAAAUAGGGUGAUUAUAGAUUAUAGUUAAGAUUAGAUCACUCUAGACAAGAAUGGACCCUUAAUCCAGUAUUACUGGUGGCUUUAUAAGGAGAAGCUAUGAAAAAAAAAAUCAAACAUGGACAGUUGGGGAGAAAGCCAUAUAAUGACAGAGACAGGAGGCUUAUAGCUUUAAGUCAAGGACUGCCACCAGACUCUAGCAAGAUGCAGGGAGGGAAUCCCCUGCCGUGAUCUCAGGAAGUUCUCACGCCUUGAUUUGGGACGUGCCAGCCUUUAGAAACCACCCGUGUCUAUUGUUUGUGUCACUUAAUGACAAGAACACAUUCCCAGCAAAGGGUGCUUUGGUUUGCUCUACGCAAGUUGACACAAGCCAGAGACAUUUGGAAAGACGAAACUUCAAAUUGAGAAAAUGCCUCCAUCAGAUUGGCCUGCCGACAAGUCUGUAGGGUAUUUUCUUGUCUAAUGAUUGACGUGGGAGGGGCCGGCUCACUGUGGAUGGAUGGUGUCACCUCUAGGCAGGUGGUCUUGGGAGGCAUACGAAAGCAAGCUGAGCAAGCCAGGAGAGCAAACCAGUAAGUACUGUCCCUCCAUGGUGGGUGCUUUAGUUCCUGCCCCCAGGUUCCUGAUUUGAGUUUCUGCCCUGGUUUCCUCCAUAUUGGACUGUAACCUGUAAGCCAAAGAAACUCUUUUUGUCCCCAUGGGGCCUUCGAUCAUGGUGUUUUUUUUUGUCCUAGCAAUAGAAACCUAAUUAAGACACACAGCUGACUCAAUUGUGUAAGCGUCCUUAAGUGUAUUCACAAAGACCUAGAUGGGAUAGACCAGCCAUUUAACAAGGACUGUGUCUUAGUUAGGGUUUUAUCCCUAUGAAGAGACACCAUGACCAAGGCAAUUCUUACAAGGCACAACAUUUAAUUGUUGUUGGCUCACAGUUUCAGAGGUUCGGUCCUCAUCAUGGCAUGAUGAAAAGCAUGGCAUGCAUUCAGGAUGACACGGUGCUGGAGAAGGAGCUGAGGGUUCUGCAUCUUGGUCCGAAGGGAGUCAGAGGAGACUGUGUUCCACAGGCACCAAAAGAAGGGUCUCUUCUGCAUUAAGGGGAGCUUGAGCCUAGGAGCCCACAAAGCCCACCUAUACAGUGACACAUUUCCAUCAACAAGGCCACACCUACUCCAACAAGGCCACACCUCCUAAUAGUGCUGCUUUCUAUGGGCCAAGCAUAUUCAAGUGGCAAACAUGGGAUGUAUGACGUUGCUGACAGCAUCGCACAGCAUCUGGCUUGCACUACGUUUUUAAAUACACAGGUAUAAGGAGCUCACUAUAGAACAGCAGUAAAACGGUAUAGCAUAGCAAAUGCAUUAAACCAGUAACCUAGUCAAUUACUAUUUUUAUUGAACAUUAUGUGCCAUACAAAAUCAUAUGGGCUCUGCUUCUCUUCAGAUGGGAUUGCAAUAAACUUGAGUAUACCAUGAUCACCACAAACAUGUGACCAAUGCAUUAUGCCACAAUGUCAGACUAGUGACACGCUAGGUAAACACGACUUUUCUCCGUUAUAAUUUUAUGGGGCCCUGCUACGGGUCGUAUCUGAAGGCUUUCCCCCAAAGGAUUGAUUCCCAGCCUGUGACACUAUUGGGAGGUGGUGGAACCUACAUGGUUAGUUAGAUAACAUAGGUCAUUCAGGAUAGAUCUCCAUUUCUUUGUUUCCUGGCCACAAGCUCCUGCGGUGAAAUUCUAUCUGAUGCAGACCCAAAGAAACAUGGUUGAUGGAUCGUGGUCUGAAAUCAUGAGCUGAAAUAGAUCUUCCCUCCUUGUAAGCUCUUUGUCUCAUUGCCUGAAACGUCAUGAGACCAUGCAGGACGUGCAGUCAUAAGAAGUCAGGAGAAGCAGGUAUGAUGUCUACUGAGUUCCCUACUCUGUCUUCAGCAUUGAACCCAGUGCCCAGCACACAGUAGGUGCUCUAUGGAUGGUUAUGAAUGAGAGGACAGCGGACUCGCAUUUGAGAGACAAAGGGUUCACUCUGGUUUGGUGAUUCCUGGGGUCUUUCUGGGGAGUAUGACUUUUUAAAAGUUAUGAGAAGGGGCUGGGGAAAUGUUAAGACUGAGUGCUUACUGCUCUUCCAGAGGGCCAGGCCUCAGCUCCUACCUUUCCCAUGCUGGCCUACAACCAUCUGUAACUCCAGUUCUGGAGGACCUGAUACACAAGACUCCUCUGGCCUUGUGUACUCUUGCCUGCACAAGGUGCACUUGAAGUCACACAUUUUCUUAUAUACCCAUAAAAUUUAAAACUAAAUAAAUAUUAAUGAAAAGAGUCGCAGCCAACGAAACAACAGGAUUUUUCUUGGCUAUCGUUUCCCUAACGAUGUACCAACAGGAGAGCACGGAGGAGCUUAAAGGAAGCUGUUUGAACAUAAAGUGCUUUGAAGACUACCAUUGGUGGUGGCUAAUUUUGAUUGUCAACCUGAUGGGAUCUGGAAACCUAGGAAACCAUCUUUGGGAUUGUUGGUGAGGAAGUUUUUUAGAUUGGUUUAACUAAUGUGGGGGAAAACUAUUAUCAUCAUCACCACCACCAGCAGCAUCACCACCACCAGCAGCAUCACCACCACAACCACCACCACCUCGACCUCCACCUCCACCAUUACCAUUAUUUGAGAAAACUUCUCAUUGUAUAUCCCUGCUGGCUGGAACUUGCUAUAUAGACAAGGCUGGCCUCAAACUCAGCAAUCUGCCUCCUUUCGCCUCCUGAGCGCUGCGAUUGAAGUCGUGUGCCCCUAUGCCCAUUAUUUAAAAAUUUAUUUACUUCACAUCCCAGUAUCAAUCAUCCCCCUCUCCAAACACAGCUCCUCUCCCAACUCCCCUCUUCCCCUUCCCUCUGAGAAGGGGAAGGUUCACCCUGGCUAUCGCCCCACCCUGGCACCUUACUGCAGGACUAGACACAUCCUCUCCCAGUGAGGCCAGACAAGACAGCCCAGUUAGGGAAAUGGAAUCCAUAGGCAGACAACAGAUUCAGGGUCAGAUCCCGCUCUAGUUGUUGGGGGGCCCACGUGAGGACUGAGCUGCAGACCUGCUACCUAUGUGCAGGGAGCCUAGAGCCCAGUUCACGUGUGCUCUUUGGUUGGUGGUUCAGUCUCAGGGAGUGCGAGGUCAGUCUUCCUGUGGAGUGCCUGUCCUCUUCAGUUCUCUCAGUCCUUCUCCCAACUCAUCCACAAGACUUUCUCUGAGCUCCACCUAAUGUUUGGCUGUGGGUCUUUGCAUCUGUUUCUAUUGUCUGCUGAGUGGAACCUCUCAGAGGGCAGGGAUGCUAGGAUCCUGUCUGGUUGUCCCUGGCUGUGGCUCUUCAUGCCCGUUUUAAAUGUAGGCAGCCCCAUCCCAUGGUCAGAAGACUUAAAAUCCACUAAAAUGGGAAAAAAUAGCUGAGUACCAGCAUUCACCUCUCUCUGCUGCCUGUCUGUGGAUGGGAUGUGGCCAGCUGCCUCACAUUCCUGCCGCUGAGAAUCCCAUGCCACGAGAAACUGCAGCCUCAAGAUGUAAGCGAAAAUAGACCCCUCUUUCCCUAAGUUGCUUGUCCCGUAUUUGGUCAGAGCAACUAGAAGAGUAACAAAAUAUAGUAGGUGAUCAUGUGUGCUUUGUGAGGGUGUGAACAAACGGGUGGGUUUUGUACUACCUGCACUUGAGAAAAAGUGUCAGGACAUGGCCACAGGUGCAGUUCGAGUGGUCCAGGAUGGACUAAAGAGUGGAAAACCAUUCUUGUCUUCAGUGGAACACGAGGUCUUUGGCCUCAUAGGUUGAUGGAGUUAGCGAAGAAAUACCCUUCCUAUUAUACAGAACCUGCAUUCUGAACAAAUGGCCCCUGGACUUGCCAAAUGUGGUUUAAUACAAAGUCAGUGACACAGAACCAUAGAUGCGAGGCCAUCUGUCCUUUCCACAGUGGGUAGUGUCUCUCCUAGAGAGGAGUCUCUUGAACUGGUGCACGUUAUCCCACAGAACUCCCUAUCAGUCACCCUCAGCUCAAAGAAGUGUCAGUGGAAGAAAAAAGGUGGAGACAGACCAUAAUAAGUCAAGGAAGUGUACAGUGAAGGCAGAUGGGGCCUGCGAAUGGUUAAAGGAAAGAAGGUAGUAAGGUCGUUUUCCCAUGCUCUUAUGCCAGGUGACACCCACAUCUAAGUGACUUCACAAACUACAGGCUUACCUCUUGAUGAUGUCAUUGGUGUCCCAGUCACGUGUAUGUGGGAUGUAGAAGGUGGUGUGAUCAAGGUAGUAUGUGUAAUGAUUCUGUGCCAAUCAGGGACCCAAGGUCAUUCUGCCCCCUGGCCCUGGCUCUGCUAUCCUUACUGCUGGCUCACGAACUCUUUGCUUGUUCAUGGCAGGACAAUCAUAGAAAUGGCACUGCUUAGAAACAUCUGUACUAAUUCAACAGAAUGGUUUUAUACCAAUGAGUACAACCCACUCUAAAGAAUAAAACUUCUGCUUUCUUUUUCCUCACGUUUGUAUGAUGUACAUGUGUGUAUGCAUGCAUAUUCUAUGAGGUGGUGGUUUGAAAUAUGAUUGGCCCAGGGAGCGGCACUAUUAAGAGGUGUGAUCUUGUUUGAGGAAAUGUGUCACUGUGGGGGUGGGCUUUGAGAUCCUCCUCCUAACCAUAUGGGAGCUGGUCUUCUAGCAACUUUCAGAUCAAGAUGUAGAACUCCCAGCAACUCCAGCACUAAGCCUGCCUGAACACUGCCAUGCUCCUACCUUGAUGAUAAUAGACUGAACCUCUGAACCUGUAAGCCAGCCCCAAUUAAAUGUUGUCCUUACAAGAGUUGCCUUGGUCAUGGUGUCUCUUCACAGUAGUAAAACCCUAAGACAUACAGUUGUAUUGUUUAGCAUGUGUACAUUGUCAGACCUCAAAGGAGACAUCAGUGUGGCCAACUUCCCUGGUUCCCCACUUGUCUUUUUCAUUUUUGCUCAAUUUCCCUCACUGCACAGACCGUGUGUCCCUGGCAAAGCAAUUCAUUGCCUCUUUCUUCUGUUCCUGAAGCCCCUCUCUGGACAGCCGGUGCAAUGGCGUCUCAUGUCUGCUUAGGCUCCUCCUGGCUCUGACAAGGUUUUGCUGACCCUGGCAGUUUCAAGGAAUACAGGCAGCCCACAGUCGUUUGUGCCAGACCUGCAGCCAUUUUGACUCCACGUGCAGAAAAGCCUGGACGGACAGACCACCCUCCAGAUGAGGACAGUUUAUAUGGUGGCCAGGCGCAUCUCUUGAGAAGGAGGUUGUCUCCUCAAGAAAUAAGGCUUGUCAGGCAUCAGUGGAAAAAGAGGCCCUUGGUCCUGUGAAGGCUCAACACCCCAGUGUAGGGGAAUGCCAGGGUGGGGAGGCAAGGGAGUGGUGGGUGAGUGUGGGGGAGGGGCACCCUCAUGGAGGCUGGGCGUGGAGGGAUGGGAUGGGGGUUUCCAGAGGGGAAACCAGGA